GAUCCUGGCUCAGGAUGAACGCUAGCGACAGGCUAACACAUGCAAGUCGAGGGGCAGCACGGGAGUAGCAAUACUUGGUGGCGACCGGCGCACGGGUGAGUAACGCGUAUGCAACCUACCUAUCAGAGGGGAAUAACCCGGCGAAAGUCGGACUAAUACCGCAUAAAACAGGGGCACCGCAUGGUGAUAUUUGUUAAAGAAAUUCGCUGAUAGAUGGGCAUGCGUUCCAUUAGGUAGUUGGUGAGGUAACGGCUCACCAAGCCGACGAUGGAUAGGGGAACUGAGAGGUUGGUCCCCCACACUGGUACUGAGACACGGACCAGACUCCUACGGGAGGCAGCAGUGAGGAAUAUUGGUCAAUGGGCGGGAGCCUGAACCAGCCAAGUCGCGUGAAGGAAGAAUUCGUCCUAUGGAUUAGUAAACUGUCUUUUGCGAGGGGAAUAAAGUGCAUCACGUGUGAUGUUUUGUAUGUACUCUGCGAAUAAGGAUCGGCUAACUCCGUGCCAGCCGCCGC
rnacentral:rRNA from 1 species